AUGCCAGUUGAGUGCAGGUGCUGUGCUUUGUGCCGUGCAGCUGUUUAAAAUGAUAAACUGGCUAGAAAACAGCCUGAGUACGAGCCCCUUCAUCUACACGUGGUGACUGGGGUCCCUGAGAAGGGCUACAUAU
rnacentral:snoRNA from 1 species